CAAGUUCCCGUACGGUCACUGAAGUUAAGCAACGUCGAGCUUGAUCAAUACCUAGAUGGGUGACUGCUUGGGAAUACCAGGUGCUGUAAGC